AUAAAAUCCAUUGAGAAGCAUGAGGGGGGGAAAACUCGCCUCAGAGCACAGAGUUAGCAACUUGACCAUGCAGCUACUCGUGAAAGAGGAUCUCAAGGUCACAGUGCGCAAACCAGUGAAAGGACAGCUGCUCACGGACAAAAUGAAGGCCUCCAGGAUGGAAAAGUGCUGCAGGAUGAAGCAGCUGAGCUGCGAUGAAGCCCUGAACUGGAUUAUGUUCACCGUUGAGAAUAUUUUCACCGUCGCACCGGCUUGGAAUUCACAGAAUCACCAAGAAUUGUUUCCAAAGGGUUCUUCACAAACUGUCAGAAUGUAAAAAAAAAAAAAAAAAACAUUUUCCCAAGAGCAUCAUGGUCUGGGGCAGAACUUCAGGCCUUGGGAAGACCAAGCUCGUUUUUGUGCCGAAAGGGGUCAAACGCAAUGCCGAGAUCUACCGCGAGCUGAUCCUGGAGGGUGCCGUCAUUCCCUGGGGUCAAGGGAAUGCAGAAAACACUGACUAGUGGCUGCAGCAGGAAUGGGCCCCUGCCCACGGACUGAAGGAGACUCUCGAAUGGUGUGAGGCGACCUUCCCGGCUUCUGGGGGAAGGAUGUUUAGCCUUCCAAUUCCCCCAAUCUCAAUCCGAUGGAUUUCGCUGUUUGGGGGAUCCUGAAGCAAAAAGCGUGCUCUUUCAAGCACAAAUCCAUCGAAUCGCUCAAACGUACUUUGGAGAAGGCCUGGGAGGCAAUCACUCCAGAAGACAUCACGGCUAUUUGAAUAAUUUCCGGAAGCGUCUUCAAGCCUUUUAUCAGAGCACAAGGUGGACAUUUUUAAACUGAAAUUUGAGUUGUUCUACAGAAUUGAAUGGCCUUUCAAAGAAAAUAAGGUGUGCCUCGUUUUGUUCGUUCGUUGAAGUGUUAUAGUUGUUGUUUCAUGUUACAGUAUUUUUCGGUCGUUACCCUGUAUUCUGUGAUCUGGUGUAGUUCCAUGUCAAUCUGGUCAUUUUGCUGUCGUUUAAAUUUGUUUUACAUGUGGAGCGAAUGUAAACGUGCUGAUGUCGUAUUCUGUGAAUGUAAGGUCCGUUCGAUUCGCCUGCACCACUGUGAACCAGUUCACGGCGGUUCACGAGAAGUUCAGAAAUUGUGCAGCUUGAUUUCUGCGGUGCAGGCACAGCGCGCCACUGGAAACGAAUGCAAAGGUGCAAACGCGGUGCAGGCGUUAUGUAAUGUCUGACAAAUGUGCACGGAGUGCGUAAAUUUGAGAGGUCCUGAACUGCAGGUACGAUCGCCUUCUGGGGCGUAAAUACACGCCACACUUGCGUAGAUACAUCAGACGUGCAUAAGCGGGGUUUUAACGGCACUCGCUCCCGUGUGCUACAUCGUCUGCUGCGCUGCUGCUUCGCACCUGUACGCCUGCACCAAGGCGGCACCGACAGUGGAGUGGGUGCAGCAAAAUCAUGAACCAGCCCUGCACCUUUUGAAAUGAAUGGUGUGGUUCAGCGGGCACCUUUGCUGCACCGCUGAAACGAAUGGCAGGGUGCAGCACCUCGUGAACUGGUUCAGGCGGUGCAGGUGAAUCGAACGUACCUGUAGUUUCAAGCAGGAGGCUGUGUCGUUAGCAUGAAGAACUCUGGCUAGCACGGCUUUGCAAUGCAACAUCAUUUCAGCUUGAGUGCAGCAACUUCAUUACUUAACUUUAUAAAACAAGCUUGGAAAUAAAUUGAAAGUUUCAAUUUUGAAUAUAUUUGCAUAACAAAAAAGUAUAUCUUUAUGAAACCAUAUUGACCAACUUAACUAGUGCAUCCUACACAAAUCUAGGGAAAUAUAGGGAAUUUUGUAAUACAAUUUAGGCGGAAACUGGCUUCAAAGGUUGGCAGCACUGGGAAGAGGUGAGUGCGCGGUAGCAUGAUCAAGCACGCACUAGAGGAGGUGCGAGGGAGGGAGGGGGGGAGGGUCUGCAUGCCUAUCCGCCCACCCCGCCUAGCUCGCGUGUCUCCUCUCCUCUACCCUUGCUGAAGCUGCACAUGCUGUCUGUAUGCGCCGUAGAGUUUCUCACUAUAACACCUAGAGGGUAAUCUGGCGCCACCGUCUAUGCGAGUUUCUUAAAGGGCACCGUGCCCUCAUGGGAAUGACGAGAUAUGUGUCUGCGAGGCUUGUGUUGGCUGGUGUUGAACGAGGCUUCGUCUAAAACGUGGAUAUGGCUACACAAAUAAUGCGUUCUUAAAGUAAAAUCUACAUAGAAGACUCUCAUUCACUUAUAUUACAUCUCUCAAUAAUGUUUACUCACCUGCAAUGCAGAAU